CAGAAAGGAUAUCAAUAACUGGAGAAAAGGGAGCUCUGAUUUCUGCUUGGCUGUCAAGGGUCCAGACUCAGAGACAGUCUGUGCCCCCAGAUUGCUGAGAUGCCUGGGCAAUGAGAAGCAGAGGGCAGGACUCCACCUGAGGUUGUCCUUGGGAAAUGGCCUCUGUGAAGCCAGGCUUGACUUUGCAUUCCAGCAUGUCUGGCUCUUGAUUGAAGGCAGGAGAAGGGGAUGACAGAGGAUGAGAUGGUUGGAUGGCAUGACUGACUCAAUGGACAUGAGUUUGAGUAAACUCCAGGAGUUGGUGAUGGACAGGGAGGCCUGGCGUGCUGCAGUCCAUGGGGUUGCAAAGAGUUGGACAUGACUGAGCGACUGAACUGAACUGAAGCCAGGCUUAUCUUCCUGCAAACACUGAUGACCUCUACUGUCACCAUCAGGUCACUCUGUACCUCCAACCUUGGAAGAGGCUCCCCGUCCCCCUCCGCCUCCGACUCCGCCUCCCCCUCCCCACUUCCUGAUAGUUAGUCAUUUUGAUCACCACCUGUGUUGCUGUCUAUACCAACGUGACAUUGCUCCCAGGCACUUCCAGGUGCUUUGGGAUUCCAGGUACCAACAGAACUAGAAUGAACUGGAUACUUCCGGGAACCAGACAGGGCUGGGCAGCGUUCAGUGAAGAAAGUACUAGAGUCUGAUGUUGAGACCACCAUUCCAUGUGUGUCCCUGACUUAGAAAGCUUAAAGCACUUCCACUGCCCUGGAAGGAGUAAAGGGGUCCCCAUGUCUUCCCAAAGGGUUCUCCCUUUGCCCUCAGCUCGAUUCUGCCCCCAGCCCAUUUCCCUCCAUGAUCACCACAUCCAUCAUUUCCAUCCUCAUAGGAUUUUCUGCAUUGGAGCCUCAUUCUGUUUAUUGGAACCCCUUGCUAUCAUCAUGGACCCCAACCUUUCCUCACUGUUCUGCCUCCAAGGGCAAUUGUCUCCUUGGGGUGGAUGCCUGAAGUAGAGGAAGAAGUGAGCCAUUUCCAUGAAGUGGGCUAAGAAUAUUCUCACUUUACCAGUGUGCUGAACCCAGUUUCUGAAAAUGCUACAUUCACGGGACACUCGUCUCCCUUUCACCUUCAUGAAUUCUGGCCACUCGGAUUCCCGUCACAGGUCCUGGACACGCACUCUGCCAGGAGUCCAGCUCCUGGAGUGGUUGCCAUUCUGGUCAAGAGUAUCCGGGAUCCAACUAGUACAGAACUACCCUGGCUACAAGUCAGCAGUGUGAUUUCAGCUGGCACUGGGCUUGCUGCUGGAAUCACGUAGAGGAACAGUGGAGACUCAGACUUUCCACUAUAAUAAUAAACUGCAGAUGCCUAUUUAAA
ensembl:lncRNA